rnacentral:tRNA from 1 species
GAGGGCGUAGCUCACUUGGUUAGAGCGCCAGGUUGUGGCCCUGGAGGUAGUGGGUUCGAUUCCCAUCGCUCUCC